rnacentral:rRNA from 1 species
UACGAGGGGGGCGAGCGUUGUUCGGAAUUACUGGGCGUAAAGCGUGCGCAGGCGGUUUUGUAAGUCUGUCGUGAAAUCCCCGGGCUUAACCUGGGAAUGGCGAUGGAGACUGCAAGGCUAGAGUUUGGCAGAGGGGGGUAGAAUUCCACGUGUAGCAGUGAAAUGCGUAGAGAUGUGGAGGAACACCGAUGGCGAAGGCAGCCCCCUGGGUCAAAACUGACGCUCAUGCACGAAAGCGUGGGGAGCAAACAGG